rnacentral:rRNA from 1 species
UACAGAGGUGGCAAGCGUUGUUCGGAAUUACUGGGCGUAAAGGGCGCGUAGGCGGUCCCGUAAGUUCCGCGUGAAAUCCCCCCGGCUCAACCGGGGGAAUGGCGCGGAAAACUGCCGGACUAGAGUUCGGAAGAGGCGAGUGGAAUUCCCGGUGUAGCGGUGAAAUGCGCAGAUAUCGGGAGGAACACCAAUGGCGAAGGCAGCUCGCUGGGACGUUACUGACGCUGAGACGCGAAAGCGUGGGGAGCAAACAGGG